rnacentral:rRNA from 1 species
AAUGAAUGUAAACGUUUUAUAUAAACAAAAUAAAACUUUCAACAACGGAUCUCUUGGUUCUCGCAUCGAUGAAGAACGCAGCGAAAUGCGAUAAGUAAUGUGAAUUGCAGAAUUCAGUGAAUCAUCGAAUCUUUGAACGCACCUUGCACUCUCUGGUAUUCCGGAGAGUACGCCUGUUUGAGUGUCAUGAAACUCUCACUCCCUACCUUUUCUUAAUUGAGAGGGAAGGGACGUGGACUUGGACUCUGCUGGUCUCCUUUAGUGGAAUCGGCUUGUCUGAAAUGUAUUAGCUGGAUCCUCUUUGUAAUUGGUUCUACUCGACGUGAUAAGUAUUUCGUCGAGGACAGUCUUAACGGACUGGCCGAGAGAAGAAGAGUCUUUAGAUCCGCUUCUAAUCCGUGCGAGCAUUUAUGCUCCACACUUUUUAUGAUCUGGCCUCAAAUCAGGUGGGACUACCCGCUGAACUUAAGCAUAUCAAUAAGCGGAGGAAAAGAAACUAACAAGGAUUCCCCUAGUAACGGCGAGUGAAGCGGGAUGAGCUCAAAUUUAAAAUCUGGCAGCCUAAGGUUGUCCGAGUUGUAGUCUAGAGAAGCGUCUUCCGCGC